AUCUAUGGCUAUGCUACCCUGAACAAGCUCAAUCCUGUCUGAUCUUGGAAGCUGAGCAGGGUUGGGCCUGGUUAGUACUUGGAUGGGAGACGACUUAGGAAGACCAGGUGCUGUAGGCA
rfam:Pteropus alecto contig49695, whole genome shotgun sequence.